GUAUCACUAGAACACCAGCGAUCGUGAAGCACGCGCAAGCUGCCCGUCCGCUCGAGCUCAAGGCUGCGCGAGGCGUCUGCAGUGGAGACCGACGGAACGGCUCCGCUAUCUGGCGGCUGCCCAAGGAGUAGCGACAGCGGCGGUAAGCGCACGGGCGGAGAGUUUUACAACUGAAGCUAGUCUGGUAACGUUGGUUCAAACGUUCUAGAAGCACGUUCGCGUUGUGUUUUCGCGUGUGCCGUGGCGGCAGUAAGUGACGUGGUGGUUGACGCUACUACCCCCACGCUUCCGGCGUAAUAUCCCGUGCUCAUUUUAUUCUCAGUUGGUUGUCGUUCCGACGAGUGUGCCGUGCGAUUUUGUAUCCGCGGCGCGACAACGCCGUUCCUAUCUGCCACGCCCCACCGGAGGUGUUAUUUUCUCCCUGCGUUGAGCGUUUGGUUGCUCGACCGAGAGGAUUCCUGACAUGGCACGCGACGGCAACUUCUGCGGGCUGGCGGCUUUGGCGGCGACAGUGAUCGUCCUCGGCUGUCUUGUCAGCCCAGGAGACCCAGCAGGCCCAGGAGCCGCAGGAGCCGCAGGAAAGGCAGGAGCCGCAGGAAACCCUGGAGGCCCAGGAGGCCACGGAGGCGACGGAGGUGCCGGGGGUCCAGGAUACGUAGGAGGCGCAGGAGGCGCAGGAGGUGCCGGGGGCGCAGGAAUCGGCGGGGCUGCUGGAGGCGACGGGGGCUUAGGAGGCGCCGGGGGCUUAGGAGGCACCGGGGCCGCAGGAGGCGUGGGAGGCGCAGGAGCCGCCGGAGGCGUAGGAAGCGCCACAGCACGAGGAGGCAAUGGAGGUUCAGGAGGCGACGGAGGCAAAGGAGGCGACUGAGGCCCAGGAUUCGCCGUAGGCCCAGGAGGCCUACUUUGUCGUGAACUUCUUCAUAUGUUUUUUUUCUGUUUCGAAUAGCUAGAUCCCCCUCUCAAUAUAGUUUGUCAGACUGCAUGGGAACUGCGCUCGGAUUUCUGAAUCUUCUGGCUUGCACAGUUUGAACUUUCCUGAAAGCCUGCAGCGGUCAAGUUGAACCUCUGCAAUAAAGUUGUUUUUUUACUUUCUCAAAA